UACGUAGGGGGCAAGCGUUGUCCGGAUUUAUUGGGCGUAAAGAGCUUGUAGGCGGUUUGUCGCGUCUGCUGUGAAAAUCCGGGGCUCAACCCCGGACUUGCAGUGGGUACGGGCAGACUAGAGUGUGGUAGGGGAGACUGGAAUUCCUGGUGUAGCGGUGAAAUGCGCAGAUAUCAGGAGGAACACCGGUGGCGAAGGCGGGUCUCUGGGCCGAUAUUGACGCUGAGGAGCGAAAGCGUGGGGAGCAAACAGG
rnacentral:rRNA from 1 species